UUAAAACCUGUUUUCGUAUGAUCACAAAAGUUAAGCAACGUUGAGCCUGGUGAGUAUCUACAUGGGUGACCGCUUGGGAAUACCUGAUGCUGUAGG